AUUGAACGCUGGCGGCAGGCCUAACACAUGCAAGUCGAACGAGUGGCGGACGGGUGAGUAAUGUCUGGGAAAUUGCCUGAUGGAGGGGGAUAACUAUUGGAAACGGUAGCUAAUACCGCAUACCAUCAGAUGUGCCCAGAUGGGAUUAGCUUGUUGGGGGGGGAACGGCUCACCAAGGCGACGAUGCCUAGCUGGUCGGAGAGGAGGACCAGCCACACUGGAACUGAGGCACGGUCCAUACUCCUACGGGAGGGAGCAGUGGGGAAUGUUGCACAAUGGGCGCAAGCCUGAUGCAGCCAUGCCGCGUGUAUGAAGAAGGCCUUCGGGUUGUAAGGUUCUUUCAGCUGGGAGGCGUUACCCGCAGAAGAAGCACCGGCUAACUCCGUGCCAGCAGCCGCGGUAAUUC
rnacentral:rRNA from 1 species